rnacentral:rRNA from 1 species
UACCAGCUCUCCGAGUUGUGGGGACGAUUAUUGGGUCUAAAGCAUCCGUAGCCGGCUGGGCAAGUCCUCUGUUAAACCCAGCGACAAAUCGUUGGCUUGCGGGGGAUACUGCUUGGCUAGGGGGCGGGAGAGGCCGUCGGUAUUCUCGGGGUAGGGGUGAAAUCCUAUAAUCCCGGGAGGACCACCAGUGGCGAAGGCUGUCGGCUAGAACGCGCCCGACGGUGAGGGAUGAAAGCUGGGGGAGCGAACCGGAUUAGAUACCCGGGUAGUCCCAGCUGUAAACGAUGCAGGCUAGGUGUUAGGGCGGCUACGGGCCGCUCUAGUGCCGCAGGGAAGCUGUUAAGCCUGCCACCUGGGGAGUACGGCCGCAAGGCUGAAACUUAAAGGAAUUGGCGGGGGAGCACCACAAGGGGUGAAGCUUGCGGUUUAAUUGGAGUCAACGCCGGAAAUCUCACCGGGGGCGACAGCAGAGUGAAGGCCAGAUUGAAGGUCUUGCCAGACGAGCUGAGAGGAGGUGCAUGGCCGUCGCCAGUUCGUGCCGUGAGGUGUCCUGUUAAGUCAGGCAACGAGCGAGACCCGCAUCCCCCGUUGCCACCAGCCUUGAGCUGAGCACACUGGGGAGACCGCCGUCGAGAAGACGGAGGAAGGAGCGGGCCACGGCAGGUCAGUAUGCCCCGAAUCUCCCGGGCCACACGCGAGCUGCAAUGGCAGGUACAAUGGGUUCCGACCUCGAAAGGGGAAGGCAAUCUCUAAAGCCUGCCGUAGUUGGGAUCGAGGGUUGAAACUCACCCUCGUGAACAUGGAAUCCCUAGUAAUCGCGUGUCACUAGCACGCGGUGAAUACGUCCCUGCUCCU